rnacentral:rRNA from 1 species
UACGUAGGGUGCAAGCGUUGUCCGGAAUUAUUGGGCGUAAAGAGCUCGUAGGCGGUUUGUCGCGUCUGCUGUGAAAACGCGAGGCUCAACCUCGCGCCUGCAGUGGGUACGGGCAGACUAGAGUGCGGUAGGGGAGAUUGGAAUUCCUGGUGUAGCGGUGGAAUGCGCAGAUAUCGAGGAGGAACACCGAUGGCGAAGGCGGUUCUCUGGGCCUUACCUGACGCUGAGGAGCGAAAGCGUGGGGAGCGAACAGG